rnacentral:lncRNA from 1 species
AAAAAUAGUAUAUAAAUAACUGUGGAGAGACGUCUGUGAUAGGGGUGGAAACGAGCCGAACACGAGCUGGCUCGUUAAAGUAUCGAGCCGAAAAAUUCAGCUCGUGUUCGACUCGUUUAUUAACGAGUUGAACAUGAGUUGGCUCACGAGCUGACCAACGAACAAUAAAUUACAAAAGAUUAGAUUAAAUAUAUAUAUAAAAUAAAUUUAUAAAAUUUUAUUCAUUAGACUUUGAUCUAAUAGUUGAAAUUUUACAAAUAAAUGUGUCUUUUUAUAAUUAAGCUUGUAUUUAUAUUUUUAUUUUACUAAAAAUUAAAUAAUAAAAAUAUAUAUUAUAUAUAAUUAUUUAUUUAUAUAUAAAAAUAUAAAUUAAAUAAAUUAUAUAAAUAUAAAAUAUAUGUAUUCGAGCGGUUAUCGAGCCGAGCACGAGCGAGGUGACCCAGCUCGUGUUCAGCUCGUGUUUGACUCCUUUACUAAACGAGUCCCGAACUCAUUUCGAGCUGAAC